AAAAGCAGUAGAUAAGAAGAGAGAAGCAGAUAGCAAAAUCAAGAAGGCAUUUCUCAUUCAACUCUCCCUCAAAGGCUUCAUGACUUCACGCACGUUCCACUUCCAUUCUCUUUAUCCAUCACAUGCAUAUCAUCAUCAUCAUCAUCAUCAGUGGUACGUACGCGUAAUUUUGGGGCCUGCGAGGAGAGUUACAUGAUACUUGCCUUACUCUUAUGUUGCAAUAUAUUUGGCAAUUGAAGAUUUCAGUCACAAAGCA
rnacentral:lncRNA from 1 species